rnacentral:lncRNA from 1 species
UCAUUUGACACUGUUUGCAAGGCAGGUCUGCAAAGAAGAUCUAAUUCAGAGUUUGAUUGCUUUAUUUCUCUUCACUUCUGAAAGAUGAUUUUGCGGGCUGCAAUGAGUAGUGUCCCUGUCUCAGUCCUCAGUAGCCUGUGCCUGAGGCUGCAGCCUUCACAGAAGCUUCUCUGCUGACUCCCCUGCAGGGUCCUCCCUUCCUGGGUGCAGCACCCCUGCUGUAACCCUUGACCCCUGUUGACUGUUUAAUGCUCCUCCCUGCAGGAGGGAAGAGAAGGCUGCAGGGAGAGGGUUGGGAAUGUCCAGCUCUGGCCAUGCUCUUUCCCUGGAGAGUGAGUGGGCCUUUAUUUCUGGGUACUUCGUCAUCCUGAUCCCUCCUCUGCCAGACGCUGGGGGGUCUUCCUCAGAUUUUCCACAAGAAGCGCCUAUACCCGAGUGCAGCCUCCCUUCUCUGAGGGUCUUUCAGCUGGAGCAGAGCUUUCUUCCCAUAAGGUUCUGGGGUGACCCCCAGUGUCUUCACACCCUCUUGCUGAGGUGAGACUCUUGCUGAGUCCCCACAGCAAGCUCCUGCUGUGCACGUGUGGGUUGGACAGGUGAAGUAUUUGGUUUGUACAUAAAUGUUUAUCACUUCUUUAUACAUUUAAUAUGUUUCACACAGAAAAUGUUGAAAAGACUGACUUUGUAAGAAGUUCAUAUGCUACGCAUUUGGGCGUACCUUUUACUCGUCGUUACAUGUUCAUGGACUUACUUGGCAUAUAGUUCAGAGAAUGUUGACUCUCGAGUACCUUAUAACCCAGCACUCCAGGACCAAAUUAAAGUGAUUUGAUAUAAUUUAAGUCAUCAAUCAUUUUUAGAUAUUUUUACCAAAC